CUACAAUACCGAUUCACCCUCCAUUUCUCCCGCUUAGCAAAAGAAAAUCAAAGGGGUUCACCUCCUUGGGUUCCGUAAGAUGCUGGAAGCAUCUUUCGUUUCUCUCUUUCUUCUUCUUUUCUUCCACCUCUUCGUUCGCCGAAGCAACUAAAAAUAAAAAACCUACUCGCGGCUUCUUCCUCCCGAUUUCGGAGCUUCUCUCUCUUCCACUCUCUCUCUCUCUCUCCCCCCUCCAUUGAAGCACCUCCAUACACAGAGUUUUCCUGGCUAAGAGGAUAUUUUACGGUUUGGUUCCUUGCUUGGUCAAUCUCAGAUUUACCGACGGUUCCGGCGGUCCUGUUAUUUUUUGGAAAAUCAGGAAUUUGAACAUCAGCUUGCGACUUCGUCGUCGAUUUGAACGCCACCAGCUUCGAUGCAGUCCUUGGAGACACCCCUGCCUCCUCUGCCAUAGUCGAAUUCUUUGCUGACUGGUGCAAAACGCCAUAGAGUAUUUAAACAUCAUCGGGGCCUUGGAUGAAAAUGAGAAUCUGACUGUUUUAGGUGGGGAGAGAUUUAUUAUUCUUUUAAUAUUUCAAUUAUGCAUUGUGAUGCUUACAACUCUUUGUAAUGGUUAUAUUUCAGAAUUUCAGAAAGCAGGUGCGGUUUGAUCAAUUAAGGCCAACCU
rnacentral:sRNA from 1 species